CUCUUGCUUCUACUCAUUUCUUGACCCUUGCUCUCUCACUCAUCCUCUCAUCCUCAGAUGCUGCUUGCUUCAACCAAAGCCUCUCCCAUCUGACUAAUGGUCCAGCUUCACCUAAGAGCUAUUACUACCUUCGGAGAUCCGAGGUCUCAGCCUACAGAAGAGACAUUCAGAGAGCUCCUGGGAAGUGCAGACUCGUGGAUCCCUCCCUCAAGGAUUCAGAAGCAGAUGAGCCCAGAGAUUGACUAUGGUACCCAGUGAUCACCUGGCAUGGGAAGGCGCAGCAGGAGGUUAACAAGAUGCCCUGAAAGAUGACCCACAGGAGGCCAGAGUGAGGAGUCAACAGAGAAAAUUUGAAGCUGAUAUAUCAAGAAGCAAGGCGUUGGUAUACUAUUUCAAGUUAUGGAGAAAUUUAAAUUUUAAAUGAUUGACUGUAAUUACAUCUUGAGAGAGGGACGAGGAUAUACCUCUCUUACUGCCAGUGUGAUAUUCCUUCCUAUUUUUGUACUUCUUUUUGUAAUCAUGAAAAGUGACAGUUGUGAAUAAAAAACUCAGUAUUAAAAAACUA